rnacentral:rRNA from 1 species
CAGUCGCCGCGGUAAUACGAGGGGGGCAAGCGUUGUUCGGAAUUAUUGGGCGUAAAGGGCGCGUAGGCGGUUUGGCAAGUUUGGUGUGAAAUCUUCGGGCUCAACUCGAAGUCUGCACCGAAAACUGCCGGGCUUGAGUAUGGGAGAGGUGAGUGGAAUUUCCGGUGUAGCGGUGAAAUGCGUAGAUAUCGGAAGGAACACCAGUGGCGAAAGCGACUUCCUGGUCGAAUACUGACGUUCAUGUGCGAAAGCGUGGGGAGCAAACAGGAUUAGAUACCCCCGUAGUCCCUGUCUCUUAUAC